rnacentral:lncRNA from 1 species
CCAAGCAAAUACUAAGUGCUAGCUUUGUGAUCUAAACCAAGUUUUUUACACAUUAAUAACACCCAUUUCAUGCUAUAUUUAGCUCAACAAACCAUGAAACACAUUAUUUACCAAAAAAUUAUAAAGAACUUAAGGUGGUUUUUAUUAUGUUUUUUCUGGAGGUGAAAGCUGAUGAAAUCUCGAAGUAAGUUGGCCUUGGGGUUGAGGGGCAACCUACAGAUCGGAUUAAAUCUUCCACAGCUAGCACUUGAAACUUAGGGGGUGAAUUCAGUGCGAUGUUGUCGACUCGUGGCUCAUAUAUUUUACCCUCUUGUCGAGUUUUGUAUUCAGAAGUGCCAUCGAAUCGACCACGACUCUCCCAUGGGAACUCGUGGAAUGCCAUGGAUGGUCCAGCGAACCAUUACACAUUCUCCAUUGGCUGCCAUACACUGACAUUGUCGAGCCAGAGAGCUUUGAAAAAUAUCCUCCCAUGGAAUCGCAGCGCCCCGAAGAUUGACUUAAUAAUUGUCGAUUUCCGAUGAAAGUUAUUGAGAGGAUCUUUGAAUACAAUGUCAUCCCUAAAUAGAGGAGAAGUUAACUUUGUCAGAAUAUGGAGUAUAAAGAUGGACAGUAUAUGAGAAAAUUAAUCCUCCUGCAUUUAUAGAGGUGUCACAUAGAAAGCCCAUAAUCUAUUUACACGAGGAAGGCAGCAGCAUGCAUCAGCCUAGUGGGCAUAUGCUAUUUAUGCACGUACGGCAUAACUUUAUCCAGUAUUGUUAAGACAAGAACCUAGGAUUGCGCCUUAGCAUCAAACAAAAGCACCUCAAACCCCUUCAGGCCAGGCGCAUUCAGUAGGCAAAAGCUCGGCACCCUAGGCAUGCACUUUUGUAAGGCAACACACACAAAAAAGAAAAACCAUUUUUGAAAAGGGAUCCUUCUCAAUAUUUGAGUAUACGACGACAGGCACAGGACCAAAAGAAAUCAUGCACCCGGCCAACAAAAUUAAAAGAAAAUUUAGGUUGUUCACUAAACAAAUUCGACCAACUUUCAGAGUUUAUUAUCAUAAGUAUAAAUCUUAAGCUUAUUAUACACACAAGCACGUACUCAUCAAGACUAACAGAUAAACAAAAAUGCACACACAUGCAUGUGCACCUUAUGCACUCGAGCAAAAGCGCUUUUCUUUAGCGCUUCGUGCCUUAGUCAAUACAAGGGUUCGAACGCAUAGAGUGCACCUUGCCCUUAACAAAACCACCUUUGCCAUCCAUCAAUUUGUAAAACCAAUCAAACAAGGAUACUAUUAACAGAGUUCUAUGUUCUAAGCUAAGAGCCAAUACUUUCUUCCUUAUACACACACACACAGACAAUCAACAUUCAAACAAAAGACCAACAUUCAAAAACAUCUAAUUACAUCAAAAACAUAAGCUUGGAAUGAAUUAGUACGCGUUAUUCAAACAAAUGUCAUCACCUUUCUCUCUUCUUCUUUUUUAAUUUAACGAUGAGAAUCCAAAAUCAGCAGAUGAACAAGGAAAACUUUGAAAAAUCGAAUUUAUUUUACAGAAUUCUCAAUUAUUACUCCAUUUCAAAGAAAUCAAAUGCGGGAAAAUUGAAUCCGAACCUGUAAAUAUCAAAACUGAGCUCCCUGUAAAAGAUGUCCGGGAACUCCUCUCUCAAGGUCCGAAUAGCGUAACCCAUAUUCACGUAAUAAUCCUGCUUCUCCUCUUCCUCUUGCUGGGCUUCGAUCCUCGCUUCACCGGAGCCGAAAAUUGUACGUACAACCUCAAGUUUUGGCUCAAACACGAAACCGUACUGCCGGCAUCUUUAACACCGACCCUAGCGUUGGUCCUUGACCAAACUUUCUCGUCGUCGUUCUUCGAAAUCGCGCAGCUCUUGAGAAAUUAGGGCGGGGGUAGGGUUAGAGAAAAAUUUUGCAGAGGCGGUGGAAAUUUCAGGUGAAGGCAUGAGAAAUGCCAUCUCGAAGUAUGGUUCUAGAGAAAAUUUGGAGUAGAGAAGGUGGGAUUAAAAGAAAGGAAGUGAAUUAAAUGCCAUUUUCUUUGGACGGAAUAAAAAGUGGGAAAUUUCCAGGAUAGGGUUGUUUGGAUAGCCAGAGAAUCUAAGAGGGAAUAAGGGAUCGCAGUUUUUAUUUUAAUUUUUUUUUUUUUUGGGUUUCCCGAUUUCAACCAACCGAAACCACCNNNNNNNNNNNNNNNNNNNNNNNNNNNNNNNNNNNNNNNNNNNNNNNNNNNNNNNNNNNNNNNNNNNNNNNNNNNNNNNNNNNNNNNNNNNNNNNNNNNNNNNNNNNNNNNNNNNNNNNNNNNNNNNNNNNNNNNNNNNNNNNNNNNNNNNNNNNNNNNNNNNNNNNNNNNNNNNNNNNNNNNNNNNNNNNNNNNNNNNNNNNNNNNNNNNNNNNNNNNNNNNNNNNNNNNNNNNNNNNNNNNNNNNNNNNNNNNNNNNNNNNNNNNNNNNNNNNNNNNNNNNNNNNNNNNNNNNNNNNNNNNNNNNNNNNNNNNNNNNNNNNNNNNNNNNNNNNNNNNNNNNNNNNNNNNNNNNNNNNNNNNNNNNNNNNNNNNNNNNNNNNNNNNNNNNNNNNNNNNNNNNNNNNNNNNNNNNNNNNNNNNNNNNNNNNNNNNNNNNNNNNNNNNNNNNNNNNNNNNNNNNNNNNNNNNNNNNNNNNNNNNNNNNNNNNNNNNNNNNNGCAUUCCACUCCCAUUGCCUUUUUGCGAAGCAAAAAGAAUCACUAUGACCCAAGCGACCACAAUAAAAACAGAAAGAGACAACCUUUCAUAUUUAAAUCGGACAUAUGAACAAAUUCCAUGAAACAUAAGCUUCUUCUUCCUCUUCGAAGGUCGUCGAAUAUCGAUUUGGACUCUUAUCCUCAUAUAAUUACGAUUUUCUUUUUCCAAAUUAGAGCCAUCAUACUCAAUAAUUUUUCCAAUAAAAUUACCCAACUGCACCACUAGAUUUUCAGAAAAGAACCCAAUUGGGAUGUCAUGAAUCUGAACCCAAAAGGGUGUAAAAAUUAAAGGAACUCUCAAUGGAUCCUCUCCCCCACUUAAGUUUGUAUAUCACCAAUAAAUGAUUAUUAAAAGUCCAAGGUGAACCCUUUAAAACCCUCUCCAUGUCCAAAAUAUGGAAAAAUUGAAAUAAGUACCUUUUUUCUCCUAGAUCUUGAAUUUGAACAACCCCGAACAGGAUGCCAUAGAUUAGCCAUUGUGCUUUUCAUUGCUGGGAAGUGAAUAAUACUAGCUGUGAGAAAACACCCCCACUAAACAAAACGUUUCCACCUCCCUCUCUGAGUUUGACUCGACUUGAACUGUAGAAUCUCAUCUUCCUCCUCAUUAAUUGAUAAACCAACAAAUUCUGACUCCAUGAGUAAGAUCAAUGCAUAAACGAGAAUUCCAAAAUUAUUAAAAGAGAUCAAAGGAAUAUUUCUAAAUCGCCGUCAAAGGAACACAAACAAAUUUUUUUCAAAAAGAACAAUAAAACCUAAUUCCUGCCAGAGAGAGCAGACAGAGACGUACUAGGGUAGCAGAAGUUGAUUGUAAGUUAAAAGUUAUAAUUUAUAUCGAUCCAAUUAAAAUUUUUAAUUAAAGUUUAAGUAUUUUAUUUUUGUAUUAUAUUAGUAUUUUAUUUAUAAUGAAAAGAUUAUCAUUCUUUUUAAUUUUAGAAAUAAUAAAUUAAUUAUUGAUUUUAACGGUUUUGAAGUUACGAUUUUAAAAGAAAUGAAAAAAGAAUAUGAGUUAACAUCUCUGAUUAUUUCAAUUAGAGAGUUUAAAUUCCAAAAAUUUAAUAGAUUUAUACAUUUUCCUCCUCUAAAUUCAUUUGUCCAAAUGAUAAUCUUUGCUUGUUUGAAAUUACUUAUUCUAUUUAUAAUGGUACCUUUUAAUCUUAAUUCUUAGUGUAAUGAUCAUUACUUCAUAAUUUUAAUUCUUUUUUCGAUUGAUAUUCAUUACAAGUAAUAGUGAUAACCCAUCACCUCCACAAUUGCACUAAAUGUGAUAAUGACAUCUAUGAUCUCAAUUAAAAUCCAUGAAGCCUUCUCAAUCUAAUUGGUCACAAUUAGAUACAAAACAAAAAUGCGUCCUCAAAGAAUAAAAGAAAAAAGAAUUGAUGAACAAAAAAAUGAAGAUCUCAGCUCAUCAUUUUCACGAAUGGUAAAAAUGCUUACCACUAAUCAAAUCAAAUCAAAAUAAGCAAAAGGAAUCAGCCUAAAAAAAGCCCUUUUGUUAGGGAGUUUGUUUUCACUAGUGAAAAUAUACAAUGCAUAAAAUAUAUGUACACAGAAGCAGCAGCAGCACUUGGAUAGGCCUUUUUAAAUCGUGUUUAUUGAUUUGAUUUUGCAUAAUAAUAUGGACCAUGGUGAGAUCAAUGGUUGCAUCUUGUAUAUUAUCAUUACCAAUCAAAACUCAAAAAAGGCUGAAUUGAAGACUAUGAUUUUAGACGAGGGCUGGCUGCUUCACCUUCCCUACCAACCUUGGGUUUCUUCUCUGCCAUUUUCUUACUCAACUACAAAUAUUUAAAAUAUUAUAAUUAGAUUGAGCUCAAAUUGGGUUUGAUUUAAAAAAAUUACCAAAUUGAAGUUAAAUAAUCAGCUUGAAUCAUUUUAUUAUAGUAAAUAGAACUCUCAAACCUUCAAGUAUUUAAUUUCAUCCGAUUGAACCUUGAUUCGACGGAAAUUGAUUAUGACAAUUAGAUGCUGAAGACUAAAUUGAUUACAAUAAAAUAAUGAAAGCUUAGAUGAUUAUUUGGUUUUGGUUUAGGGGCUCUUUUAUUUAAGCCAUAAAAAUCCAUAUACUUCUAACUAAAAUUAAAUUCAAUGAAAAGAAUUAAUCAUCCAAACCCCUAUCAUUUCAACCCUCAAAACAUUCAUCCUUACUCAAUUGAGUCCUCAACUGGAUGGAAUUGAUUAUGCGAUUAACCAAUUUUGUCCAAUAAAAAAUUGAUUUUAAAGAUUUAAUUGAUUGUAAUAAAACAAUAAAGCUUAGAUGGUUAUUUUUUCGUUUUAGUUAUAUUUAGGCCACAUAAAUUUAAAUACUUCUAAUUAACUUAAAUUCAAGUAUUAAAAGGAAAAAAAAGGGACCUCUUGAACUAAAGUUAAAUAAUCAUCCAAGCCUUUGUCAUUCACAAUAAAUUGAGCCUUCAACAUCUAUUUUCAUGCAUUUGAACCCUUCAAAUCUAUUUUCAUCCAAUUGAGCCUUCAAUCUGACAAUUUUAGUCCAAUCAAGGGUUCAAUUGGGUGAAAAAUAGAUGCUUGAGGAUUUAAUUGAUUUUGUAUUAAAACAAUGAUGGUUAGAUGGUUACUUAGUUCAAGAUCAGGGUUCUUUCUAUAUUUAAGCCAAAAUUCAAAUUAGGGAGAUUGGAAGAUCAGGCUAACUUACUGUUGGAUUGGUGAAAAUGAUCAACUGCUUAUCUGCGGUUGAGACUAGAAGAUUUGUGUUAUCCUUGUCCAAAGCAAGAGCUGCAAUAUCCUGCCCUUUUCCCAGUUUCAACACAUGGAGCACCUGUAAAUCAAAGAUUUUAGCCAGGUGACACUAUUUGCCAAUAUGGUUCGUUCUCCUUAUGCGUAACAUGCAUUCAAAGGAGUUUAAUCUCUGGAACACCCCAUUCCGAGAUGGAGGAAGAGAGGUUUAGUCUCCCCAAGGUACCUUAGAACAAAAUUAAUGCAAACUGAAUCCACAAGCAUGGCUGCAUUCACCAUAUACGGUGGGUAAUAAUAGCAUCUUUGUUUAAAAGUUUUCUUGUACCUUCAGAGCAUGCAGAUCCAAGAAGCAAACUGAAGGUGAUGGAAUAUCCAAUUCUUCAAUCUCUUCUGACUCGAGAUUUGAAUAAUCAACCCCGGGAUUCUUAAAGCUGAAGUUUUGGUUGUUAUUGAACACUCCAUUGGAAGAUGAGUUCAUUCCAAUCAAAGCACUGUUGCCAUCCACAGAAAUUUCCAUGCAACUGAGACCACCAAAGGAAGGAACUUUUGCUGUUGCCACUGGAAUCCCAUUGAGAGUGAAUGUUCUGAGAACAUGUUGCAAUUGGUUCCAGGUUAAAAUGAUUCCCGCAGAAGAAAGGCAGACAGUGUCAGCUACCACACCAGCAAACCGUCUCAUCAAGCAACCCUUCCUUAUAGAAUGUAAGAGAACAUCUGAUGAAUGACCACAUGAAACAACAAUACCUAGAUCUGAAUUGACACAACAACAAAUAACUUCGUUGCGGUGACCCCGAAGAACAUGUAUGGGACCUUCUAUCCUAUGCUUCCUGCUUUUUUCUGCCAAGGUGUUAGCUAAAGUACCAGUAGUUGAGGUUGGUGUGCCAGGGUCAGCAGUUGCUUCUGAUGUGCUGCUUGAGCUGGAUGUUAAUGCCCUAUGUAUCCUCCAAAGUAAUACGGUAGUGUCCCGGGAACCGGUCACGAGAUAGUUGUUAUCUGGUGAUAGAGCAAGGCAAGUGACAGGAGCACAGUGUCCAAAAGCCGUUUCUAGUGUUUUUGCUCCAUCAGAUGAGAGUAACUUGAUACUGUUAUCCGCAUGUCCACCUAGUUAAAUUCCAGAAAAUAUAUAUAAGGAGAUACUAAAUAACACAAGAAAUGUGCAUAACCAUUAUCAAUAACACUGAACAUGUAGUUCAAAAUUAAGUCUCUUACUGCUACAAAUGUUCUAUAAAUAGUGGUUGAACAGCCAAUCAAAAUUGAAAAGUAAAGGGACAAUUCACAAGUUAUUGAUAUAUUUUUUAACCAAUGUUUCACCUAAAUAUUUAAACAUUGAACAGUAGAAGCUGGUUGUAAAAGAUCAGAAGAUUAGACUCCAAAAACUGUUAUCAUCAUCAUAAAACAUAGUUUUCAUGCAGCAUUUCACUGCUAUGAAAUUGAAAGAUUAUCUUAUUAUAGAAUGUUAAUGAGAACUUGGGAUAGUUUUAGAUAUGCUAGCCAUCCACCCUUUUUCUUUUACAAAGGGACCAAGAUUUGUUAAGAGACAACUAUAAGCUCAUUUUAAAAUACAAUCAUAGUUCAUUUGGUUGACCAGAAAAAGUCUUUAAAAGAAAAGUUCAAUUCAUGCUUAUAAAGUAUUCUUCAGAGUUCAGACAAUGGUACAUGUAAGAAGCAUCCUUUUCCAACUUAUUACUACAAGGACCAAAGGAAGGAUUCUAAUGAGAUGUUCUAACAAAAUCCCAGCAAGCAUCUGAAAGAAAUAUUACUUUUUCUUUUCUGAUUUAGGGUUCAUAAGCUGAAAGAAAUUUAUUAGACAAAUUAUGAAUCAAGAGGCUACCUGUAACAAUUUCUUUAUCACAUGUAUGGAAACAAUAGAUGAACUCCUGAUCCCAGACGAAGCAUAUGCUAGUGCCUGGGGAAACUGCUCCUCAUCAGAACCAGAACCAGCUGGCAUUUUUAACAUUCUUAUAAGUGCACCACCAGCUGAGCUUGCGAUUGCCUUUCCAUGUUCAAACAUAAAUGGUGUUCCCUGAUCAUCAGGAGUGUUUGGCUGCCACUUGUGCUGUGCAAUAUGAGCUGCUGGUGCAUUGUGCCAACAAUUAUGAGAGCAUCUGAACAUGCAUGAAUAGCAGAUGCAGGCAAAUUGCAGCGUUCAGGACGAGGGACAGCAUAUGGUUUGACUGCUCUUGGGUUCCGAAAGAUUGUCUGGCAUUAAAUGUUAAUCAGAAGUAGAUCUAACAUAUUCAUUUUCGAAAAAAAAAGUUUGCCAUUAGUGAAAGGACAUUAUUAGAUCACUACUGAACUGCAGAUGGAAUUGCUAAUUGCUACCUGCAAAUGAAGAACCUCUGAAAGUGGCAUCUUCUUCAUGUGAGGAACAAUAAGGAGUUGGGAAGGAGUUUGUCCAAAAUAAGCGAUCUUGUUUCGUGUAGCACACUGUUGUACCUUUUAUAUGUAAACUUGUGUAAGACAAUAAAGAAGGUUUCCCAAAUAGAGCAGACAUUAGAAGAAAAGAUAACCAAAUCAAACUUACUGGAUCAGAGAUCUUAUUUAAUAUCAAACUGUCCCUUCAUAUGUAAUGUAUAAGAACAUGUUAUUGGACAAUAGCGCUUCUCUGCCUCGUUGCUUAUACCUAAACAUUCAAAUUCACUCAUGUAAAAUCUUGUAAACUCAAGGUUUUUUAAAACAAGAAUCUCUGUGAACAAUUAUUAUUAAAAAAAGAAUAUUACAAUUAUUAUUAGUGAAAGUAAUACAAAAUGUACCCAAAUAUGAGGUUCAAUCCAUUCAUUCAAAUGUGCAGAGGACAUGCUCACUCUCAAGAGCCAUUCGAUGUUUAUGAAUGAAAUCAACUGGGGUUUGUGUCCAUGGUGGAGUUUAACAGAAUCUGCAUGUUGAAAAAAAGAAAAAGAAUCAGACUCAGUGCAAUGAAUGGCUUUUGGUUUCUCUUCAGACAAUGAAAGAGGAAACUUAGGUACAUACCAAGAUUUCUUCCUACUUGUGUUGUUCCGAAGUUGAUUGAAUAUCAUUGGUUAACAUCUCAGGAAGGUAAAACAAUUCAGGAACCUAACAGAAAUAAUAUAAAAUAAAAAGCAAAUGAAGGAAAUAUUGAUACUCUACUGAAGUACAAAUGUGUCCAAAACUGAUCGGCAAGAUAAGACAAGCAACAAUCACAGGGUACACACGUGCUUCAUAUUUUAACCAGGACAAAACAUAAACACACACCCAAUUCCUUCACACUGAAGACAAAAUUAAAAACACCUACCAAUUUCCUUCACAUCACUCAUGUCCUCAAGCAACUCUAUUCCAAGUAGCAGCAACAUCUGAAAAUAUCCGUCGGAAUGAUUAAAAUAUUUCUCCUUGCAGCUGAUUGAAAGAAGUAGUAAAUGGCUCUAUUCUAACAAGAUAGUACAAAACCUGCAAGAAAGCACCACAUAUACAAAGAAGUUAGAUAAAGAACCUGCUCAAAUUGAUGGCAAAAUUAACAAAAUCAACUACUUUUGCAUAGAAAUAGAAAAUUGGAUUGAAUACGAUGAAAGUCUUCCAUCAAAAAAAAUAGAAAAAAGAAAUUAGAGGAAAGGAAGACUUCUUGCAAUCACAUUUUUAUUCAAAUGAAUGUUUGCACAUAAUUCAGAGGAUAGAUGUAAAUAAUCCUUAAAAACUAAAUAAUGAAGCAUGCAACCUAGUGAACUGGCUGAUGCAGAAUGCAACUGUAAAUCUCAUGUAUUAGAUUUAGACCAAUAUGUUAAAGUAGCAUAUACUACAGAUUUCAGGUGCACAGCAGCUACAUGUUUGCCCUAUAAAGGGGAUUAGUCUAUCAUGUGAAGCACCAUCUGUAGGGAUGAAUAAGAGUAUCAUACAGUAGGUAGUAUAAUUUAAUUUUUAAAGCCAACUACUGCACAGGUAACAAUUGCACGCACAUGUAUGCAAAUGUCCCAAGUCUAUGAGGAAACAAACUAAGGAAAUCAAACCCUUCAUGAAUAGCAGGGAUAUAUCUGACAUUGUCCCUAUUUCAAGGAAUUUUCUUAUAACCAUCAUAAAAGUACAACUAGAAAUGUUAAAUAUGUUAGAAAACCUACAGUUCCGGCACUUGAAUAGUGUGAGUCAUAGUGGAACUUGGGGAUAACCGGAUCAUUGAAGUUAACAUAUCUCUCUUGGAAUUUCUUCAGACGAUCUGGAUUCAGUGCCCCAACAGGCUGCAAACACACAUGACUUUGUAAUGGAAAAGGAUAGUGCCGAUAGAAAGUAUGUGCCAGCAAGAUUCAAACUACCUUUGAACUGGUAGUCAGAAAUGAUCCAUGGGAAAUACUGGAGUACUGUAAGUAAGAAAGAAAAGGGCAAUGUAAGUACGCACCAAAGAACGUUGUGAUUAUCCAUCAAAAUGCACUCAGAAACAGUCUCACUUGAGUUAUGUCAUUGUAACUCCGCCCAGCCAAUGUGUUUAGCUGCAUUAAAUAUUCAAAAUGCUGAUCUGCAGAAGGGUUACAAUUCUUCUGCCAGUAAUUAUGAUGCUUAUUUAUUGCAUGUGAAUUAUUUAUAUAUGUACUGUAAUUCAUACCUCCCACCUGGCCCAGCGCUCCAUAACUGAGUUCUUUUCAGAAGUUGUUCUGGUCUCUACAUCAGAAACAAUAUAAGUUCAGGUUCAGGAAGGUAAAUAAAAAAUGCAUCCUUUAACAGCAGCUAAUACACACACCUUUAGCUAAGUUGUAAUGAACCCAAAUUUUUAUAGAAGUAAAAUACCAGUGAACUUUCACUCAUUUCCUUUAAAUACAGAUGAUAUUAUCUAUCUGCAUUCGUGCUAGACCUCUUUCAAUUAAAAUAAAAGAAUAUAAAAUAAAAAUAAAAAUCAACCAAAAUACAACCUGAGUUGCAAGAUAAAUGUUGUUCAAAUGAGGAGGUUGUGCUUGAACAAUAGCUUGGUAGGCGUUUCUUCGGGCCUCGGAACUCUGGAUCCAUUUUUUUUUUUUUUAAGAAAGAAAAGAAGAGAGGGGAAAAGCCAAAGCCAAUGCAAAUAAGAGGAACAUACAGGGAGUAAACAACCAUCAAAAGCGUACUUCUUUUAAUCACAAACAAAUAAACUUUGAAGGUGCAUCCAAUAGGAACAUACCCCAAAAUCAAAGAAGAAGUUAGAACGGUCAACCAUGAACAGCUCCAAGGCACUUCGUCUUAAGAGAUAUCUAUGGCAAAAAAAAACCAGCAAAUGAGGCACAAAGAAGACGUUAAAGCUAAAGCAAAAUUCGAUGAUGAAAAGUUAAAAUUCUUUAAUGCAGCUAUGAAAAAUAUUAUUAUGUGAUGGAUAACUGUGAGGAAUAAAUAUCUCUUUACGCUCCUUGUAAUAUUAAUAUAAACAAUAAGCACAAAGAGAGAAGACCUUAAAUUCAUUACUGGAUUUUACAACAAUAACAACAACAACAAUAAUAAUAAAAGAAAUCCUCAUCUGCUGGUCAUAUCCAACUCUUGCAGUAUAGUGUGCAGACAUUCACAUUGACAUUUUCAGAAUAUUGAGAAAUUUUUAGAAAACUUUUGGUUGUUAAGAGAUAGAUGAGAUGCUGAAAUAAAAGUAAUUUCAUACAACAAUAAAAUGGCAGCAGCAUCUUUUUCUCAUUCCUUGUUUUAGGCAAGCAUCUUGUUUCAAUAUUUAACAGCAUGAAUUUAAUAUGAAAUCAAGGAUGGUUGAUAAUAACUAGACAUAUAUUGUCUGAUAAUGAUAAGCAAGAUGAGUAUAAUACAACUACUGAGAAUAUCAAAUGACAAAACUUGAAGCUCAAAGCUAGUAAAUACAAUAGUGAUGCUCAAAUUUUCUAAGGCUAGCUUGAACAAAAAUGACAAUAAAACUAAUAUGUUUCACUAUAACUUCACCUUCGGCUAUACAUUUGAUGAAGAGAAGUAAUCAACCAACUAUGGUCUUUUUGGUCAUUUCUCAUUUCAGAGUUGCCUUCCAAACCAUCCAUUGUUGUGUUGUUUUCCGUAUAAUCAACUAUAAAAUUUAUUUUCUUUGUGGUUACCUGAAAAAAGGAGAAUAGUUCAUAUUCUUGAUGACCAUUUCUUCUGGUUUGAUAUAACAAGUACUGAAAGUAUGAGAAACAAGUCGCACUAGAUUUGCAACAGUAGUUUCCAUUCUUGUUCUAGAACACAAAUAAAAAGAAUUUAUCUUUUAUCCUAAAUCUAUAGGAAAACUAGCAUCCACAGACACCUAUGACGGAGGAUUAUGGGAAAGCAGGUGAAAUAAGGAUUGUAUAAAGAUGUAUGAUAGCAUCCUCAGUGGUCAGACAUCUGGCUCUGCAAGUGUGACAAAUGUUAAUGGCUACUUAGUUUAAAAGUCCCCAUAGUUGAGCUGUAAAGUUGUACCUAAGCUAUGAGUUAUGAGAUGAAAAAUGAAUUAGAUUGGUGACUUAUAUGAGGGCCUAUCUCAAUUAGCCAGAAACAUUUAGAGAGGAAGCGGGACUUCUAUUCUUGUAGACCUCUUCAUUACUUUUCUGUUCUAAUACAAUUUAUCGAUCUUAUACAGUAAGUUGACAACUUAGCUGCAUACUUCAUCAUAUUUUAGACUGGCUGUUGUGACUCAAGUAGAUUCCUUCUGUUAACGGAUCUAAUCCUAAGCACCAGAUAGCAUGCAGUCCUCAUUUAAAGCCAUUUAAGAAUGAUGUUCCCUUUAAGUUCAUGCACUUCUGUCAAAAUCCACAAUUCGCUAAUAUCAAAAAGAGGCACUGUUCCCUGAAAAUUUCAGAAAAUUGACUGGUUCUUCAGCCAACAGUCUUGGUCCUAUUAUGAGUUUAUAUGCCAAACCAUAUUGCCUUAAUUAAAGAGAAUCCUAUCAGAAGCUUUUGAGAAUCCAUGCAUCAGAAAUUUAUCAUAGUUUAAGCAAUUCAUCUAGGUUUGAGAAUUUGGUGGUAUCAAAGAAAUACUAAGCCCACUGUAAAGCAGUGUAAAACAACUAUAUCACUGAAUAUAAUCUGCAAAUAUUUUAACACAAUAUAAAAAUCUUACUUGAAAUGUUCCUCGUAUAAUCUUCAGCAGUCUAACCAUGGAUGAAGGAAGUUCAAACACAAUUCUCUCACCAAGUCACUAGAAUUGUAUCCAGGAGCAACUGCUGAUAAACUUUGGACCAAGUCUUGCUCAUUGGAAAAUUGAGAAUCGGUAGAUUCUACCAUUUGUGCAAGGGUUGCCCAGAUAUUCCAUAAAGCCUUGGCUGAUCUUUUCCACCUUGGUCAUUUCAUAGCCUCUGUUGUCUUCAUUAUCAAGUUCUGGCUGUUCAUCAACUUCAUUCAAUAAAUUUGUUGAGAUUGCUUCUGCUGCCAGAAUAGGAGCAGUAGAUGAGCUUAUGACAUCUUGCUGAUUGUUUUUCAGAUCACUUUGAUCUUCAAAAUUAGUAGCACUGCCAAAAUGAGCAGUCCCUGUGUAAUUCCUUCUCAAAUAUGGUCUCAUUCUUGAAGAACUCUCCAUAAACCUUAGCUUACAUAAGUCUACACAUAUCAUAAAAAGGAAAGAGAAAUGUUAGAGCAGGAAGAAGAAAAAAAAAUCAGCUAUCUGGAAACAUAAACUUUUUCUUUUCAGAAGGAGAAAAGAGAAGUCUAAACUUACACGUGCCUGACUAGGUUGGUCCCCUGCUGGUCCAAAGAGACAUUUCAUCUCUAUCAAGCAAAGAACAAGUUUACGCCAUGCUCGAAUCCCAGUGAAUAACUGGUGUUGUGCAACUAGAUCAACUUGUGUGCGCCUAUCAAUCUGGAGAGCAAAAAGUAGAUUAAUCCAGUUACUAACUUUUAUUGCAGCCUAAAAAAGCAACAACAAUCAUGAUAGCUAGCAGUAAUCAAACCUCUGACCGCUGAAUAUUUCUUGCUAAAGCAAAACUUGCAACAAGGACUGCAAUAAAUUUAUAGGAUAAAGCAUUAAAAUCUUUCCCAUAGACUGAUUUUGUAUCAACUGGUUGCAGACAUUCCAUCCAAGCAACUCCCAUGGCUUCAGAUUCAUUCCAUCUUUUCCACACGUUCCAUAUCACUAGCAUUCCUCCUCUGUGCAGAAGUAGCCAUUGCAAUCGCACAGAGACCUCUUCCAGAACCAAUCUUUGAGUUGCGUUCAAGAUCACGUGCAGCUGCCAAGGCAGCAGCUUUUGCAGCAGCCUUGUCUUUUGGAAAGGAUGAUGAUUUGUUAGGCGCUGUGGGAGGUUUAUGAAAGCUUGAAAAAGUAUGCAGCUUAGUUGUUUUACGCUCAAGCAUGAGGAUUCACGUUUAAACUGUGUGGUUGCUGGAGAAGCUGGAGUUUCUGCUCCGCUAGCCCCAGCAGCAAUCAUUGCCAAUGCCAUUGCAGCUGGUGGUGAUGCAAACGCAGCAGCCCAAUCUGGAGAGAUCAUUGCAAGAGCUGUCUGGAAAAAAAAGUGGGGUGGGGUAAAAAUUGAAAAUUCUCAAGCAAGCACCAAUGAGAAAAACAUUGAAAGAAGGAAAACAAUGUAGCGUGAGGAUAACAACCAACUCUGAAAAAAAAAUUCCUAGAAAAUAAAUUCCGGCUCCUUGCUGAGAGUCAUGCAAAACAGAGAAGCAUGCAUGUGUGCACAUAGUACUGUUGGCACUAGGAAAGACAAAUUAACACUUAUGAGCAAGAUUAUUUUACAAAAGGAGCUAAGAAUAAUAUGUAGUAACCUCUAACGGUGGAGGCAUCAGCAGCCAACCACAGGAUUACCAACAGCUAGAGGAUUCAAACCAUCAGCAGUAGCAAGUUCAUGGAUUCCUGCCAAAAGUGGUCUCCAUCUCCUCAAAACAGCAAUAAAAGGUGGUACAAUGGCUUCAAGAUACUGUUUACGAAGCAGCUUUCUGUCCCUCCCAACAGCAUGCCAUAUCUGCAGCAUAUGUCAUGUAUAGGCUAAUUCAGAAAUAUCAAUCAAGAACCUAGAUAAUCAUAGUGAUGAGGAAGAAAUAAAAGUAAACAUUAAACAUUCCUUUGCAAUAUCAUAACAGAAUGAAUAUGACAAUAGAUGAGAACAAAGAAAAGAAGAAGACAACAUAUUGCUGUGCCACAAAAAGUUGAAGAGUAAAGCACAAAAACUAAUGAAGUAAAUAAUUUGUUGCUAUUUCAUACCAAGCAAUUCACUUAGAACUAACCUCAGAAUAGAGAACACAGGAUGCUACCAAAACUCUCUGUCUCUUGGAAUCAGAAACUGGCAUGUUCAGAAUAGGAGAAAGCACACUGCAAAUAAUUAAAUUAAUAAGUUCUAAAAUCUCCUUGUAUAUGAGUAAUGGAAGUGAGGUGGAAACAAGACCAAUUAGACUACACGGUACAGGAGAAGAGACAGAGCAGGCACUUUAGUGGAUAGAUAUGUACACUUAUGCAUCAUGUGGUUGUUGAUUAGGAGAAUCCUCCACUAACUUACCUCCACAACAAUGCUGACUCUGGAUUUCCUGCUGCGAUUCCAUCACUGUUGUCUAAGGACAUGAUGUUCUCUCCUUGGUGAUACAAUGCUUCUGGCACUCCAUCUUCUAUGCCCACAUUCCUCGCGACCAUCUUGUCUGCUCCAUUAUCAUCUUCCCUCAUUGAAAGAAGCACCAUGCGAAGCAUGCAUAAAAAUGGUUGGUCACUGUCCAGUAACUGGUAAGGUGCUGCCAUUCCUCCCAUCCCAGUACCUGAUCCACCACCUAUACCAAGGCCGCCACCAAGUCCAGAAUCAUCUAACAAUAAAGCUUGGAGCAUGCUUACAGACUUCUUCACUAGAGGAAGUUCAAUCCAAUUCCCGUUAGGAUCCUUUUGUAAAGCAGCACUCCACAACUCCCAGCCGCUGCCACCAGCGCCAAACUCGCUAGUUUUAGGAAAGCCAACCCCAUACCAUAAGCGGCUCCUGUAUUUCCAACCCUCAGCUAUAUCCAUAGCACAACUUCCAUAUGACACAAAAGCUGAGGAGACAGAGUCAUAUGGCUCAGCUGCAGCAGCAGCAGUAAGCCUUUCCAUCGCCUUUGCAGAAAUCUGCCCGUUUGCAUCAGCCAUUGAAGCAAGGACCUUGUUUGGAAAAAGAACAUGAAAGCAGGAAAUAAAAAAUAUUAGAACAAGGCAUAGCAUAAAGGAAGUCAAAGCAAUGUCCAUAAAAAGUUAAUAAUAACAAUCAGGCCUAAGAACUGUCACAUGUCCAUGCUAUAAGUCAGGAAAUCCAGGAAGACAUUAUGGCUAAUAAGGCUAUCGUGGAAGAUGAAGAAGUUUAACAGUAGAGAACUUCAUAAAGACAUAAAUCUCUAAAUAUGAAAAUUCCAUGUAUGCAUAGACAAUUAUCUUUAAGGGGGGCAAUGCACGUACAUCAAGAGGAAGUCCACCAGAAUUUCCAGAUCUACGAUCAUCCGAACCUUCUGAUGAUUCUCUACCAAUUGAUUCUCUACCAGUUGAUUCUCUACCAGUUGAUGCAAUGGAAUUUGAGUAAUUAUAUAGGGGAGAUACGAGAGAAAGCGGAGAUACAAUACCCUCAGCUUUGUGUGAUGCACAAGAAAGUUUACUUUGUAAACCGUAAAUGAUCUUCAACAAGCAUUAAAAUGACAAUUGCAUUCUCUACCAAAAAAAUAGAAAGUUGCGCAGCGUUCUCUGCUUGUGCCUUGGCUUCCAUUGGGGACAAACCUUCUGCUGCAACCCCAGCAGCAGCUGCAGCAAUCACUUGAGUCUGCCAUGGAAGAAAAGCUUAAUGAAGAAUUAUUGCAACUUUUUCCUCUAGUAGUGAGACUUAAUACUAAUCAUUGAAAAUAUAAACAGCCGCAGAAAUAUGAGAAAGCAGCUAGUGGUGAGAACAGUAAAAUAACAAAAAUCAAGAAAAUAGAAGCCAUAAUUAUUGCAUUAAACUGCAAUUGUUAAAGACCAUCUUACCUGAGCCUGCAGCUCUCUAGCAGCGAAGUCCAGCAACCCAAUCAAAAGCCUUCUCUUGAAUAUUGGCAAAUAUUCUUCACGCCUUCAGAAAACAACCACAAAGGAAAUCAAAAUAAAUUAAUGCUUACUUGUUCAUACAAAAAAUAUAUUACAGAUAAGCUUUCACCAAUAAUAGCAACUGCUGCCAAACGUAACACAUUUAAUAGGCUUCAUGAAGAACACAUAUGAAAACAAUCAGAGACAAUGUUAAAUAAAUCACUGUAGCCUUGUGGCUAUUUAAUAUCCUAUGCAAAGCACAUUAAUAUAUUGGAUACACAAAGUGUUUAGUGCAGUGCAUGAUGUAUCAGAAUUUUAAGCAAUAAGAAAAAGAAGCAAAUUAAGUUUCUAUACUUUGACACUUCAUAUCAAAGCAGCCAAUGAUUUUGUUACCUCAAGGAAGGACAGAAUUCAAUGACUAGGUGAUUCUACAAGUUGGCAAGUGAGAUCUUUAUAUCUGUGUAAAUACAAAGUGUAGAAUUCUCCUUUGACAAGUGCAUGUUGUGAUGUUCCGACAGAAGUGCUCAUUUUACAUAGCAGUCCAAGGGAAAGGAACUAAGGUUCAACAAAUCACAAAUGGCACCAGUGUACUGUUGGAGACAAUUACAGCAAUAAAUUUAUGGAACAGGACUCAAUAGAGUUAAUACCUAAUUCUCUGAUCCCCAGUGCUUGAUCCACCCACAAUAGAGAGCCAUUCUGCACAAUGAAUUGUAGCUUCAAUAUCCUGUAAAUUGGAACCAAUAACCAGAAAAUAUAAAUGGAACUGACAUGCUUGAAUUAAGGGGGACAAAUAUAUAUUGAAAGAUACAGUAAAGUGGAAAAUAUGGAUAAAGAAAAACCUGCCAUCCAUCCUUCUGGCGCAUUGAAUGCUCCAAAAUAAUAAUCAGGAAAUUGUGUAUGAGAUCCUCUAUGUCUCCAAAGCUUACUGAAUUAGACUGUUUUCUUUCAUCCAUCUGCAAAAUCAAGUAACAAUUUGUAAUGCUUAACACAAGGAGUAUAUGCAUAUUCAUAGUUGCCCAAAAAGGUCAAUACUAGUCCAAAUCCUCUAAAAUGUCAAUCCUAAAGAUCAAGUGAUGUUAUCCCACAUCAACUAAGUAUCAGGUUUCAUGUGGUGUUAUAUUAACGUUAGGACCCUCCGCUUAAGCCAACUGGCUUUAGGUUGGAUGCUUUAACAUAGUAUUGGAGCAAAGUUCUGUUAUGUUGUUCUUCCUACCUAACCCCAACCCCAAGUGAGGUUGAGAGCCCUGCUGACAUUGUCCAGGGAGUUUUAAGUGGAGCUAUUCAUAUCUAUCAAGUACAGAGUUUCUGUGGUCUUAUAUUAAACUGGACCCCUCCUUCUAUAGCCAAUUGGUUUUAGCUUAGAUACUUUUAACACUAAACAACACCAUCUAACAGAUUUAUAUGCAGUGGAACAUCAAAGACGACAAGGGGAAGAAGCACAAACAUAAAGAAAAUUUGAAGAUGGAAAGAGUUACCUCAUAGUUAUGGAUAAGGACCUCUAGUAUCCACUCAGGCCAUUCCUCCAUUUUUGUUAGACUACUUCUAUUUUCUGGAUGACUGCAAGCCAAAAACAGAAGAUCCUGAACAGAAAUAAAUAACUCAGAAACUAUAAUACAAAAUCAGAAAAAGUCGUAAUAUGGAUAGUUAAGAGCAUGAAAGCAAAACGCAAUGGUAUAUAACUGCAGUUGAAUUCAGGACAGGAAAAAGCUAGGCACAAAAAUAAAUUGGUGAUGGUUGAAAACUGUGUUAUGUUCUGAUAAGCAUAUAUUAGUUUAAAGCUUAUUUUGUAUUACUAUUCGUAAACACUAGAACGAAAUCUGCAACUGAUAAAUUCAGACAAGAAUACCUGUAGUGCCCGGCUUUGGAAAGAUCUAGAUGCAUAUGGCAGCAAACGCAACAAAACCACCAAAAGUUGUAAGUGUUCAAAAUGAUGGCCAGAAUCAUAAAAGCUCAACCUAUCCUCUGUCGAAGAAGCAUUGAUCUGAGAAAAUAAUAAUAAUGACUUCGGCAUUCAGUGCUAUAUGCAAGUACAAGAUGCCAUAAGAAGCUAGCAUAGUUCCAAAGCAUAGAUGAUAUUUUUACUUCAGCAGGCUGAAAAAAUACCACAUCCUGGUUAUACUUUAAAAAAGAAAAGAAAAGAAUUAAAAGAAAGUUUUAGAAAGUUGAUGCAAUGGUAGACCAAUAAGUUUUCCAAUGCACAACUGAAAGAAAAUAUAAGCAGAAUAUCAUUGAUCAUCAAGGUCAAGAUAAUAUUAAAGCAAAAGAUUGUUAUCAUACUGAAGCCCCCAAUAAAGCAGUGUAAGCGUUGCUUGUCAUAAGCCUGUUAGGAGCAGCCUGAAAAGCCUUCUGCAAAGCAUAAAACAGAAGAGAAACUUUAUCAUCAAACAUACUGCCACCUGAAUCACUCAAUGCAACACCAAAAAGGCUGCUUGUCAUUUCUGAGGACUCGCGUAAACCAAUUUUCAGAUGCCCAUUUGCUACUAAAGCGGCUAACAGUCCAAUGACCCCAACAACAAUUCCAUCAUUUUUGUCAACAUUGUAAACAUUAUUCCUUGCAUUGUCGGCACUAAUUGAAAUACUUAUUCCACCCAAAUUCUUCAUAAAAGCAAUUUCAGAAACAGAUGACUUCCUUUCCAUUUUCACACUAGGAGAAGCUGCCACAUGGCUACUACCACCAUCAAGGAAUAGAGAUUCAAAAUCUUUCUGUGAAAUUUGAUCCCUCUCCUUCGUAGACCCUUCAUCCUGGCUUCCUUCUGGUUCAGAUCUUUGAACAGACAAGCUUUCAUCCUCCUUAUUGCUAGUUUCAGGAAUGUUGUGAUCGCCAGCUUUAACUUCUCGUUGCAGGAGGACAAGUAGUGUUUCUAUCCCACCAGAACCCAUGAAAGAACUUGCAAAUGUUUGAGCUCUGGUGGCAUUUGGUUGUACCACUAGCCUGUAGAUUAAAUGUAGCACCCUGGCAACCUGAAAGGAAUACAACUGAGUCAUUUCUAGCAAAACAAUGAGAGAGAUGUCCUCCAAUAUCAGCCAGAAAUAAGAAGCAUGCAUAUAACCGUAUGGUCUAGUUGCAUCUGAUCAUAUGCUGAUCCAGCAAAAGAAAGUCAAAUAGGAUAAAUGUUCUGGAGACCCAAAAUAAACUUCAGAGAAGAAGCAAAAACAAUUUUAAGCACAUCAUCAUCAGAACGCUUACUUCUUAAGAAAUUAAGUUUCUUUCCAAAGUUUAUUUAAUUAAAAAGAUAACAAAACAUCACAAAGAUAGUCAUCCUUCAAUAUGACAAACAUCGUUAAACCAACAUCUGUUCAACUUUUAUCUAGAAAAAGUGAACUGCUCAUCUUUAAAGGAAAUAGUGAAAAGGAAAUAAGAACCAACAUGAACUCACCUGAUUAGGUUGUGGGCAAUCAACCAUGAAUCCUAGUAAACAACGCACAUCAUCUGCAGCCAAUGAAGGUGGUGCUGCUCCUAUUAAAAGUUCAAUGACAACUAAGAGUUCAUCAACCAAAGCAUUCACUUCACCUACUCUCUGUGUAGCAUCAAGUAAGGAGAAAGUAUCCAAGGAGUCCUUUUCAGAAAUUGUCCAGUAGCACCUUCUGCAGCCAUCAAGGAGCAUCUGCAUAGCAUUGGCAUCUCGCAUCACUGUUGACUGUGUGAAGACCAUAUCUGCAAGCGAUGAUAGGAGUUUCUUUUGGAGCCCAUAGCUGCACAAACUCCAAAUUUUAAGAUCCAAAAGCAGUGUACUGAAAAGCUGCACUUUAAGCACGUAAUUAUGCUUCUGAGAUUGACAUAGAGAAACCACAGCUGCAACAAGCUCCUCAUCUCCCGCACCAUCAUGCUUUCCAUCCCCAAGAGAAGACAAAGUUUGUAAAAGAUAGUCUAAGAUUCUUGAAAGAAUCUCAAGUCCCCUUGUGCGACGUAUCUCUUCAUUGUUCCCUGGGUGGUGGAGGGCAAUAGAAAUAAUUCUAAAUAUUGGAGCAGCUAGAGCUGCUGUAGCCAAAGACAAUGGAAGACUACCCUGUUCUGGUUCCAAGCUAUCUUGACACAUUUUGCUGACAGCCAGAGGAAGUAAGGACAUGGGACCUCCAUAGGCUAAAGCCCAAAGAGCCUCCACAGGUCUCAUUCGUGUUGCAACAUGGACUUGUCCAAGAACCUCAGCAGGUCUGCGCAGAAUUCCUGAAUCACCAUAGAUAGGUAAUUUAAGCAAGAACUGAAAAUUACUUAGAUACAAUAGAAAAGAAAGAGGGCCAAGAAAUUUCAAGUUUAAACAUAACAAAAAAGUCAAAUAUGAAGGGGAAAAAAAAUACUAUGGUUGAUUUCACUAAUAUAAACAAAAAAAAAAUGAACUCUUUUCUCCACUCAUCUAGGAAAUAGAGAGUGCAAUGCUGCAAUGUCUGGAAGUUAAUGUAAAGAUGUUAACCAUCCAAAUUUGAUAUAAGCACAAAAGAAGCCUAAUAUUUAAGAGAUGUUGGAUAACACCACUUAAUACUCCCCCUCACAUGUAACACGCAAUGCCUACAUGUGGACAACCUUGCAUGGGAUUUGGUAGGAAGAACAACAUAACAAAAACAAGACUUUGAUAAAAUAUUAAGCAUCCAACCUGAAACCAAUUGGUAAUAGGUGGAGGGGAUCAACUUAAUAUAAGACCAUAGGAGACCUAAUAUUUAACAGAUGUAGGAUAACACUUUACAAACCAGAAAAAGACAAUGUCACAUAAAUGAAACGGGUAAACCCAUCACAGCAGAAGAAUUUACAUUCACAGUCAAGUAAACUGACAUGCCAUCACCAACACUUCCUCCAACAUCCAUGCAUGCACUGAGAGUGGGAAAAACGUAGGAAAAGAAACAUACUAAUAAAAACAGAAGCAUUCUGCAUGCUCGUACUACUUUAAAACAGCACAAAUAAAGGGAAAAGAAAAUGAGAUUAAUAUAACAACUCUCUCCCUCUUAUUUUAGCAAUCUUAUAAACCGUUCUGAUUCAGGAACAUGGAAAGAGAAAAAAUAUCAUAAAAUAAGAAACAAGUACCGAAGAAAAGAACUUAACGCUCAUGGACAUUCAUGCACUAAAAAAGAACUGAAAUUAAAGAUGAAUCUAUUCACCUGCUGAGCCAGAAGGAGAAGCAUCUCGACAGAACCGCCCAGUAAGAAGACAGGGGUGGUAGAGUAGGUGAAGACAAUCUCCAAUUUCAGCAUCUAAUAAACAACUUUCCCAUGCCAUUCUUUGAACAUGAUCAUUUGUGGCUAGCCAAGGAAGUCCUGCACCAUUACCAAAAGAAGGCAGCAUAUCCCCUCCCCUAGAAGCUAUUCGUGCCAUUCUUUCAGGCCCAAUUGGUUCCUUAAAGAUAUACACUGGGCCUAUUUCAGCAAAUAAAGGGCAUUGACGGCGACGGCGCUGUAAGCCGCCCAUUGCCGGAGGAGGGCUUGUCCCAACGCAACUGAAAGCUAGUGGCUUGGAAAUGCGAGGAAAUUCAAAAGGAUGGCUUUCAUACAAAGAUCCAUCAAUAUAUAAUCUCAAUUCACUGUCUGCUUUCCCAAUAAUUCCCUGCCUGCAUACAUAUUCCAAUCCAAUAAAAUACCAACAUUGAGGUUUGAAUGCAUGAGUAAAAUGUAAAGAUGUUUUCUUUCCUUUUGCGCUACCACUUUCAACCACUAAAAAUUGUGCAUGAAAAUAUGCCUCUAUUCCCUUAUUAUCAGCAGAUAAGAAGCUAAAUAAACAAGGCAUGUGUGCUGUGCCUUGACCAGCAAGGGCACUUGCAGCGGCAGCAGCAGACAUAGCCGAUGAUUUUCCUGACUUGGCUGCAGCUGCAGCAGCAAUUGCAGCUGCAGCAGUUGCUGUGUUUAAUGUAUCUGCAAAGGAUUCAAUGUAGAUCCACGUUGCAAAGGAAAAUCCAUUGGUAAAUGGCCAACGACUUUCCCCAGGACCAAGUAAACCAGAGCUUUCACCAUCAAAUUCAAAGGUGCGUGCUGGCCCCCUCGACUCUCUCCCACUCACUGCCUUCUCUAAUGCAAUCAUUAAGUGAGGUGCCCAAAUGGUAGUCAGUGUUCUUGUAAUGACCUGAAACCAUCUACGCAAAUCAAUAACACUAAGUGAAUGCCCCGCCAAAUGUUGGAUGCAAUAACAUAAGGGAGUCCCAUCCCAUUUUAUAUGCUCUAGUGAACCAACACCCUGAGCAAAAAUAUUCUCAGCUGACCUCAAAAGCACUUGUAAUAAACCAGCCAUAGAGCACAUUGCCCUGUUUCUUGUGCAAGCCCGCAAUAUAACAAGCAAGCCUCUAACCAUCCGUGUCCUGGAAGACAUGGCAAUGUCACUAUCUCCUUCCCAAGGAAGCCAAGGGAUUAGCUCACCUGCCACUAUUGCAGCCCGAGAGUUUAGCAUCACACUAGGAGGAUUGUUAUCCUCGUCCUCUUCAAAACUUUCAACUCCACCCAUUGUGGCAAUAAGUGAAUCAACAAUCAAGAAAGGAAUGCUCUCCAUGUCUUCCUCACUUCCAAAAGUCUCAACCCCAGCUACAAUAUUCUUCAGCUUGUUCAAGCUUUCAGGGUUUCCCAUAAUGGCAGAAUCCACCAAAUGCAAUAGCUCAGGAGACACGUUUGGCAUAGCAGCUUUUGGCUUUGCCUUUCUUGGUGAAGCAUGGGGUGAAUAUCCAGAAUCUGCAUAAAAGACAGAAUCAAGACAAGUUGCCGAGCUUGACUGCCUAAUAUCAUAAUCUGUAUGUCUUGCUGGUCCAGGGCUUGAAUUAGAACGGUCAUGCCAUGUUCCAAUCAUUGGGAAAGAAUUAUGCUCCUCAAACCCACCUGAUGAGCCUCUGUCACAGUCUAAAUCUUCGGAUGGAUUCGUAUCCAGCUGACCACCAUGAGACUCCCCAGCAGUCUUAGCCUGAUUUUCUAGAGAUACAUGCUCAGAGUUGUCCUUAUUCCCAAUCAUAGAUGCAGAACAAAACCCCUGUGACACUGCAUUAUCAUUUCUUAAUACAGCUUCCUCGCCAGUUGUAAAAUUAACGUUCCCCUGAUGAGAUCCUCCUACCCUAUCUGAGAGUGCAUUAGUUUCUCCAAAGUUCUUUUCUUCCUCUUUUUCCAUUUUUUUUCUACUUUAAAGGCCUAGCAGAUACUCAUUUAUAUUAUUUACAACUAAUUUUCCUGCGAAAUAAAUAAAUCAGAAUGAGAAGUGUCAUUCCUAUUAAUUCUUAACACUCUUAAAGAUGCAAAACUAUCAACCACGUGAAACUAGUCUUGUAGUACAAAAAGAAGAAGAAGAAUUGUGAAGCUCCUCUAAAUUUGCUAAUAUUCUCUGUGAACUAAACCAAACAGAACCCUGUAACAUAAUUUUUUUGCACACUGACUAAAAAUUAAGCGCAACUUCCCCUCUGGCAACUGACUCAAAUUCGGACAGAAGAAAAAGCAAGCAAUUCAAUUUUGAAUCAAAUAGUUAGAUAUAACAAGCCGCAGAUCCAUCUCAUGAAGCACGUAAGCAUUCAAAAUUAUAAGUUUCUCUGACUUGUAUGGUUAAAAAAAUGAUCUCAUCCUUACAUUGACGAAUCGAUCAAUUACCAUUGAGACUAAUAAUCGGGAAUAUGAGAAAACAAGAAAUGAUCGAUCCAACCUAAUUGAAAACAUAAAUAAUUGAGAUACAUGCAGAGAUCAUAGUUUACCGGUCAUUGAUUUGAAUAAUUCUAACAUACCUAUAAUGGAGAAAGUAACUGAUGAAGUUACCUCAAAUGGAUCAGUUCGGUUCAAAUUCUUAAGUUUCCCGUUGAAUGUAUCGAUUUCAAAGUAAGAACGAUAAAUAAAAUCGAAAUGAGAAAGAGAGAAUCAAAGAAGACGAGAGAGCAAAAGAGAAAUGAAAAGAGCGCGAAAAUGGCGCGAAAGAGAAGGUGCAUUUGGCAAGUAAUUAGCGCAUUAGGCCUUCCUUUUGAUUGCUCAGUCAAAAAAACUAAGGAUCAUAAUUGGCUUAGGCCUUCCCUUUUUUUUCUUAUUUUAUUUUUUCGAUUAAGCACGUUUUGAGGUUAAAAAAAUUUGUAUUUUACCCCCACAUAUAACAAUAAAUUAUUAAAAAAUAGAUUUUCUGAUUAAAAUUAUGAUUUAUAAGCUAAACAUAGAAUUUUUUUAAUUUUUUUUCUUGUAUAAAUCAGCUUUCAAAUUUUAAAUAACCGAAACUAAUAUAAUAAUAUAUCAGAUAGGUGAAAGUACCAUUAAUAUAUUUGUAUGUUAGAAGUGAAUGAAAAUUUUAAUGAAAAUAAUCAAUUUAUUUUUUAAUCUUACGUGUAGGAUUAAUUUGUUUUUUAUUAAAUGAAUAAAAUACAAUUUAACUUUUAACAUAGGGACUUCUAUAAUAUUUUUACCGAAUUAGAUACUAUUAAAAGAAAAUUAAUUUCUAAAAAUAAAGGCCCAAAUGGAAUAUAUGAUAGGGAGAUGGCCGAAAACAUUACUUAGGUCUAAUAUUUUAGGUCUUACUUAUAUAAGAAACAAAUCUUUUAAAAUAUUUAAAUAGAAGCCAAACCUUGUCCGAAUUCGUCGAGUAACAGCUUAUGUGGGUAUAUAUUGGACAAAAUUAUAUUAUUUAAAUCUUAAAAAAAUUAAAAUUAUGAUAAAAAAAGUUUAUUAUAAAAAUAUUUUAUAUGUUAUAAAAGUAUAAUAACAUAUUUAUUAAUACAAAAUUAUAACAAAGUAUGGACAUAACUUAUUUAUGUGUCCAUGUUAUAUAUUGUAAAAGUAUAUACUCAAUCAUAGAAAAAUGUUAUAAUUUUUUUAUAUAACUUAUUUAUAAAAAAUAACUUUUUGAAAUUAUGACAACAAUUUAUAUUAUUUACAAGAAAUGUUAUGAAAGUUUUGGAUUUAUAAAAUAUUUUUUAUAAAGUUUAUAUAUUAUAAAAUUCAUGUUAUUUUUAUUUAAUUUACAUAUUAUAAAAAGGGAUAUAACCUAAGUCUUUCUUUAAAUUAAAUUUAUAUAACUUUUAAUAAUUAAAGCUACAGAUUAUUUAGACUAUGGACCCAAAUAUUAUAAGGUCGAUGCUAAUUUUGCAAAUAAAAAAAGUUUUAUUACACCAUGUCGUGGAUAUGAUACUAUUUGAGAGAAUGGUGCUAGACCCAAGCACCAUAGAUAGUUCACAAACUCUUUAGUUUGAGUCAUGCAAUACUUCGAAAUGUGAUUGAGAAUAUAUUUUUUGUUCUAAAAAAAAAUUUCCCGUAGUAACAUCACUUUAGUAUAGUAUAAAAAAAGGUUAGACCUACUAGCAUGUUGCAUAUUUCAUAACUUCAACCAUAAGGGAAAUUGACAUGGUUCAUACUUCGUAGACUACAUGAAACAAGGAAAUCUUGAUAAUAUUAAUUAUGCAAAUUCAAAUUCGGAUCGUAACGACCCCAGUCAAGGACCAACAAAUGAUGAUAAAGAGCAUAUAUUAGAUAUUAAAGAGUAAAUAAUUCAACAAAUAUGCAGUAGAACAAUUAGAUAAAAUUGAAUAUGAUUUUUAUUUUUCUUGCUAUUUUUAUCAGUAAUUAUGUUAUCAACUACUUUUUAAACUAACAUAAUAUAUAUAUGAUGAUUUGAUUUGAUUUUUGUUACUUGCUUAGAAAUUAUUUUUAUCACAUUAAUAAUUUUUAUAAUAAUUAAUAUUUUUUUAAAAUAUAAAUUAUAUAGUUAUAUAUUACAAAUUAUACUACUGAAUAUGACAUAAAAAAUUACGAUAUAAUUCAACUUUAUCAAGUUUAAAAAAUUAAAUUUUUUAUAAUUAUGGAAAUUAUUUUUCAUUGUACCACUAAUGGAAUUGAAAGCAAAGGUAAUAGACAGAACAUUAAUUGGCCCACUUAAACUAAUAAAGGAACUUUGAAAAAAAAAUAGAUUUAAUGUUAAUGAUUUUUGAGGUUUUAAUGUUUUAUUGAUAAUAAAUUUAGGUCAUUUAAUUAAUUUUUAUCCGUGCGAGGCAUGAAUUUAUUUAUUUAUAUUACAUGCAUAAAUUUUACGGAAUAUAUUUAAAUUUAAAUAAUAUUAAAAAAUUAUUUUAUAUUUAAAAUAUAUUUUUAUAAAAAUUUUAAAACAAUGUUAUUAUAUUUGAUUGUUGCAUGCAAUUAAAUUAUUUUGUGAUUUUUGUUUUAAAUUUUAAUUAUAAUUUAAUUUAUGAUGCUUAAGUUGUUUAUCUUUUCAAACUUUAUUAUUAUCAGGAUAAAUUACAUAAAGUCACCCAUGUAUAAAAAAAAUUAUUUUAGGUACCUAAAAUUAAAAAAAUUAUAAUUUAAACACUCGUUAUAUACUUUAGUUAUUUUAAUCACUCCUAUUAAAAUCGGUAUAGUUAUAAAUUUAACCUUCAAUUUUUAUAUAUUAUAUCAAUUUAGUCAUAAUUUAAAAAAUUAACCUUAUUGUAGAAACAGGUUCUUUAUUGGUCGUUUCCAUUUUCAUUGCUGCACGCUGAAUUCUCUCGGAAAAGUGACUCCAAAUUCUUAAAAGGGUCCCAUACGUCGAUGGCGAAUGGAUCGAAGAUGUUGCUUCGUCCAUUGCCGAAGAAACUUGGGAUCAAAGACUUUUUUUGUCCUUUUCAAAUUCUUGGAAUUGCUUUUAGGUGUGUUGGGGUCAAUUUGAGAAUUAGGCAAUUAGUGUCAAUUAUUUCUUGAAUCAAGGAGGAGAUGCAUAGGUUCGGUAUUUGAAGGAUACAUAGGUGGUUUGGGGACGGUGGUGGGGGAGCUACAAUUGGGGCGAGAGGGAGAGGGACGAGGUGAGAGUAUUUUUAUUUUGUUUAAUAUUAAUAUAAUUGUAUUUCUUUAAUAUUAACAGAAAUAUUAAUAUAAAAUUUAAAUUUAAUAUAUAUAUUUUUUAAAAUGCUUAUUUAUUAUUAUAAUUGCCUUCCAACCAAAAAACCCAAGUUCGAAUCCCAGCAAAUGCAAGCAUUUUUUUUUUAAAAACACUUCCAGGAGCUUAGUUGAACAAAGCUAAUAAUUCCAUUUUGCAGCGAACUUCAAUAUACUUGUAUUUUUACAAAACCAUACAACUUGUUUGAUAUCAUAAUAGGAGAACACAACCCAAGCAAAUACUAAGUGCUAGCUUUGUGAUCUAAACCAAGUUUUUUACACAUUAAUAACACCCAUUUCAUGCUAUAUAUAGCUCAACAAACCAUGAAACACAUUAUUUACCAAAAAUUAUAAAGAACUUAAGGUGGUUUUAUUAUGUUUUUUCUGGAGGUGAAGCUGAUGAAAUCUCGAAGUAAGUUGGCCUUGGGGUUGAGGGGCAACCUACAGAUCGGAUUAAAUCUUCCACAGCUAGCACUUGAAACUUAGGGGGUGAAUUCAGUGCGAUGUUGUCGACUCGGUGCUCAUAUAUUUUACCCUUCUUGUCGAGUUUGUAUUCAGAAGUGCCAUCGAAUCG